rnacentral:rRNA from 1 species
UACGUAGGGGGCAAGCGUUGUCCGGAAUCAUUGGGCGUAAAGCGCGUGUAGGCGGUUCGAUAAGUCUGCUGUGAAAGUCAAAGGCUUAACCUUUGAAUGCCAGUGGAUACUGUCGGACUAGAGUGCGGAAGAGGCAAGUGGAAUUCCUGGUGUAGCGGUGAAAUGCGCAGAUAUCAGGAGGAACACCAACGGCGAAGGCAGCUUGCUGGGACGU